rnacentral:rRNA from 1 species
UGGGGAAUUGUUCGCAAUGGGCGAAAGCCUGACGACGCAACGCCGCGUGGAGGAUGAAGAAUUUCGGUUCGUAAACUCCUGUCGAGCGGGACGAAAGAUGCGCGGGUUAAUACCCCGCGCAAGUGACGGUACCGCUAAAGGAAGCCCCGGCUAACUCCGUGCCAGCAGCCGCGGUAAUACGGGGGGGGCAAGCGUUGUUCGGAAUUACUGGGCGUAAAGGGCUCGUAGGCGGCCAAUUAAGUCACACGUGAAAUCCCUCGGCUCAACCGGGGAACUGCGUGUGAGACUGGAUGGCUUGAGUUUGGGAGAGGAAUGCGGAAUUCCAGGUGUAGCGGUGAAAUGCGUAGAUAUCUGGAGGAACACCGGUGGCGAAGGCGGCAUUCUGGACCAAUACUGACGCUGAGGAGCGAAAGCCAGGGGAGCAAACGGG